GACGAACGCUGGCGGCGUGCUUAACACAUGCAAGUCGAGCGGUAAGGCCCUUCGGGGUACACGAGCGGCGAACGGGUGAGUAACACGUGGGUGAUCUGCCUCGUACUCUGGGAUAAGCCUGGGAAACUGGGUCUAAUACCGGAUAUGACCACAUGUCGCAUGGUGUGUGGUGGAAAGAUUUAUCGGUGCGAGAUGGGCCCGCGGCCUAUCAGCUUGUUGGUGGGGUAACGGCCUACCAAGGCGACGACGGGUAGCCGACCUGAGAGGGUGAUCGGCCACACUGGGACUGAGACACGGCCCAGACUCCUACGGGAGGCAGCAGUGGGGAAUAUUGCACAAUGGGCGGAAGCCUGAUGCAGCGACGCCGCGUGCGGGAUGACGGCCUUCGGGUUGUAAACCGCUUUCGACAGGGACGAAGCGUGAGUGACGGUACCUGUAGAAGAAGCACCGGCCAACUACGUG
rnacentral:rRNA from 1 species